rnacentral:rRNA from 1 species
AGGAUCCGAGCGUUAUCCGGAAUUAUUGGGUUUAAAGGGUGCGUAGGCGGCAUUUUAAGUCAGUGGUGAAAUACGGCAGCUCAACUGUCGCAGUGCCUUUGAUACUGAAGUGCUUGAAUAUGGUCGAAGCCGGCGGAACGGGACAAGUAGCGGUGAAAUGCAUAGAUAUGUCCCAGAACCCCGAUUGCGAAGGCAGCUGGCUAGGUCAUUAUUGACGCUGAUGCACGAAAGCGUGGGUAUCGA